rnacentral:rRNA from 1 species
GACGAACGCUGGCGGCGCGCUUAACACAUGCAAGUCGAGCGAGAACCAGUCCUUCGGGACUGGGGAAAGCGGCGAACGGGUGAGUAACACGUGGGUAAUCUGCCCUCGGCACUGGGAUAGCCCGGGGAAACCCGGAUUAAUACCGGAUAGCCUUUCGAGCCUUCGGGCUCGUCAGAAAAGGUGGCUUCGGCUUCCGGCUGAGGAUGAGCCCGCGGCGGAUUAGCUUGUUGGUGGGGUAAUGGCCCACCAAGGCGACGAUCCGUAGCUGGUCUGAGAGGACGAUCAGCCACACUGGGACUGAGACACGGCCCAGACUCCUACGGGAGGCAGCAGUGGGGAAUCUUGCGCAAUGGGCGAAAGCCUGACGCAGCGACGCCGCGUGCGGGAAGAAGGCCUUCGGGUUGUAAACCGCUUUCAGGAGGGACGAAGCCACUCGGGUUAAUAGCCCAGAGGGUGACGGUACCUCCAGAAGAAGCCCCGGCUAACUACGUGCCAGCAGCCGCCGUAAAAC